rnacentral:tRNA from 1 species
GCACCCGUAGCUCAGCCGGAUAGAGCGCUGCCCUCCGAAGGCAGAGGUCGUGAGUUCGAAUCUCGCCGGGUGCGCCA